rnacentral:rRNA from 1 species
GGACUACAGGGGUUUCUAAUCCUGUUUGCUCCCCACGCUUUCGCACCUCAGCGUCAGUAUCGGCCCAGGUCUCCGCCUUCGCCACUGGUGUUCCUCCCGAUAUCUACGAAUUUCACCUCUACACCGGGAAUUCCGAGACCCCCUUCCGUACUCGAGCCUCGCAGUUUCAAGUGCCCUUCCUGGGUUGAGCCCAGGGCUUUCACACCUGACUUGCGAGACCGCCUACGUGCGCUUUACGCCCAAUGAUUCCGAGCAACGUUCGCACCCUCCGUAUUACCGCGGCUGCUGGCAC